UACGAAGGGGGCGAGCGUUGUUCGGAAUUACUGGGCGUAAAGGGCGCGUAGGCGGUGUGUCAAGUCAGGCGUGAAAGCCCCGGGCUCAACCUGGGAAUUGCAUUCGAGACUGUGUAGCUAGGGUACGGAAGAGGGAAGCGGAAUUUCAGGUGUAGCGGUGAAAUGCGUAGAUAUCUGAAGGAACACCAGUGGCGAAAGCGGCUUCCUGGUCCAGUACCGACGUCAGGCACGAAAGCGUGGGGAGCAAACAGG
rnacentral:rRNA from 1 species